GGUUCUAAAGAGAAGACUCCCUUAGUCAACUGCCAACUGCUAAGCAGGCUGAUAUCUUAGAGAGUGGCCUUGGGACUGAAGCAUUUGUUCAGGAUCAUUAGCAGCAUGUUUCUGAUGUGACUCUCAUUGGGAAUACGAAGGUAUCCCCUCUCUGAAAGUUCUUUGGACUCUCCUUAGCCAGUUCUUUCUCUACAGGUGGAUCAUAAAGACCUCAGAAUUGUUGUGGCAGUUAUUAUCUAAGAGAAGUUAACACAUAAACCCAGAUAAACAUCUGGCUAUGCAAUCAACAGGACCCUUAAAAGGCUUAGUCUGUGGACAUGCUGUAUCUGAAUAAUAUCUUUGCUCAUUUGCCAGCCAUAAGAUCAUGGGCACAGCCUACCAACAGGACAUAUGAAGUCUUUCAACAUAGAUCAUCAGAGCAUCAUAGGUUCAACUCUAUUUUACAGCUGAAGAAAAUGAGACUCAAGAAGGUUGUUAUCUGCUCCAGCUCAGAUAGGAAGUAAAUGGUGAAGAAUCCAUUCAAUCCAGGUCCUCAGAUUCCAGAUUUAGCAUGUGCCCCUCUAUCUCCUGUUUUCCCUCCUUAAAGAAAUAAUUAAAAGUAAAAGUUUGUUCUAAAAUCUUCCAGUAAACAUAAUUAAGUAUGUAAACAUGUAGUCAGAUGUAUAACU